AAAGGUAGGGUGAUCUUUUUUUUCCACUUCUUUAUUUGGUCGCUGGGGAUGGAUCGGCGGCGUGGGGUGGGGCGGGGAGGAGAAGGUAGAGCUAGGUUAGAAGGAGAGGGGAGUGGUACGGCGGCGGCGGGUCGGGACCGCGCGUUGCUCGAACGAACGAGCGUGGCUACAGCCGGUGAGGUGAGCGGCGGACGAUGGGAGCAGUAACGUUACAUAGGGAGAGACGGGCGUGCUUUGCGGCUCGUCGGUGCUGCCAUGGGUGCGCGGAGCCGGUACUGUUGGAGCUAUAGGUACCGUUCCACCGGCCGCCGACCGCCUCCAGUCCAACUCGUCGACCCUAAACCACCGGCCAGCCGCUCCGUGACUUCCUCCUACAGGGUCCGGAGUCCUCAAGCCUCCGCUCCAGUCCACCGCCGUGCUGCUCGAUUACCUUCCCCGCACUCCCACGUCUGGACCGGCCUCCUCCAGCCCGGUCUCGGCCCCCCGUAUCUCCCGUCGGCCAAGUACCCCCCGGUCCGGACCGUCCCACCAAGCGCUGGGUUCUAGCCGGUGUCCGAUUCCGGCUGCUCGCUCCAUUUAAAUAACAGGCAAAUGUAUCCCGAUCUCGUUCUAGCCGGUGUACGAAACCACCCUGAAUAGACUAAGAAGUGUGUUAGACGUUCGACAGGUCUCCAACUUAUUGUGAUCGCUAAUAGAGAGUGUGUGGUCGUUAAAGAGUUAUAUAUCACGGCAAAACUAAUCUAUUCAAACACAGCCAAAAUGUACCGUGAAUAGAGACCGAGUGUCUGUGAAGGUACCUGGAAACGAUGACGAUUGUCAGACAUAACAUGUGAGGCUGCAGGUGUUGGUUUAGUUCCUGCCCUCAAACGCUCCGUGACUUCGUGUCGCGUUCCCGUGGUAGAGGUACCGGUUGAGGCCCUGGUUCCGCUAGCUGUAAAAGAACCGACCAGGUACCACUAACGAGGGUACAGAGACAAUAAAAAACAAGAAAUGUUUUAAACGAAGAUAUUAUAGUAGUAAAUCACUUAAAAUGGAUGGAUGUGCUCUAUACUGACCGCGAAGGGAUAAGAGAUUCCAUUACAUAGUUAAACGACGAAUCAAUCCUUCUCCUACUUAGUACAACCUAAACGUCGCUCUCCUUCGAACAGCUGAACUACUUGUCCCAUUACAAAUGACUCCCGCCGAGCCGUUCCUCCUCUGGCCUACAAACAGCAACUGGAUGAAACCUUCACUCGAAUAAAUAGAGUAGACCAGCAACAAAGGGGAACUAAUUGAAAUCUACCCCUUCGAACUAGAGUAUUACAGGUACCUCUAUUUCGCCGAGCCUGUUUCGUUUCCUCUUUUAUGUACGGGUUUUGACAACUAGGACUAAAAGGCUGUUAUUAGUGAAGUAUACUCUACCGGUACAAACUACGUUUUAAAAGAACGAUUAAUAUUCACCUUCAUACAACAACAUCUACUCCCCGUAGCCAACUUUUUACGUUUCACGUUUAAUAACUCCCUCAACUCCGCGUAAAGUUACCUAUUGUUCGAGGAAAACUGAACUUGUGGAGAAAUCUUAUUAGAUCGUCUGAACACCAGCGAUGACUUAAAGUAAAAAGGACUAUAUAAGAGUAGGGUACUGCUUAAACUAAGUACCAAACUAAAAAGACCUUCAAACUACUCCUUGUUCUCCUUCUUUGACUACUCUUCUUUUCUCAGGAACAACAGAGUUUCGAAGUACGGUAAAACGCAGGUGAGGAAAAUUCCCCCCACCUCCUCCUACAUCUUAUGUACGAGGGUGCUUUCUUUAUUAGUAUAUACGAUUGUACUGACUUAUAAUCUUCUUUUAGGUCUCAGUGAACUAACUCGUCUGUAAACCGUUGUUGAACGUACUCUCACGUAUAUAACCACCUCUCUUCUCCUCGCCCGUUACGGCACCUCCUCUUCUGUCACCACUUUUCUUCCACGCCCGACUUACUUCACCACAGUUCCCCUCCGACGUCACUCUACAGCACCUCCCCUCACUACCGUCGCUG
rnacentral:rRNA from 1 species